GCCUGGGUGGCUCAGUCGGUUGAGCGCCUGACUUUGGCUCAGGUCAUGAUCUCACGGUUCCUGGCU
rnacentral:tRNA from 1 species